UUCAUUUCGUAGGGAGGAAUACGUGGAGUAGCUACAAGUUGGCCACGUGGAAGAGUCAUUUUUAGAGGUCAACAAUAAUAUUUGCACGUAAUUGAUUAUGCACUUUUUAUUUCAGACACCGGUGGAUAUGGUGGUUGUGGCAGUUUUUGUUGAAUUUGGAGGCGAUGGUCUUGGUCAUGGUGUUGGCGUCAGUGGCGAUGCUGUUAGGUUAUAUUGGUGGUUGGGUGGUGCAGUGCCAAUGGUUCCGUUGCUGGUGGUUAUGGCUAUGUGGUGUACAUUUAGUUGCCGGUGUUGAGAAUGGUGGUAAGUGAUCAAAUCUAUCUUCAUUAUAACUUUCUAUGACUAGAUUUGUGUUAACCGUGACAGUAUUUGACUUGGUUACAUAUAGUUACAAAUUGGAUCAACAUGGUAACAUACAAUCACAUUGAAAACAAAUUUUGUCAUCAACACAUAAGAUCACAGUUCAUACAUUACGGAUUACAGGUUUGAGUUCACAGGUAACUGUCACUUUAAGUCACAAAUCAAUAUAAACGGGUCACAGAUCAAUAUUAAAAAGUCACAUCUCGUCUUGUAGAAGUUACGGAUUAAAUUUAUAGGUCGCAUUUUAUGUUAUGAGUCAUAGGUCAAAAAUCAUAUUUUAUAUGUCACAAUAUACACA
rnacentral:lncRNA from 1 species